rnacentral:rRNA from 1 species
UGGGGAAUUUUGCGCAAUGGGCGAAAGCCUGACGCAGCGACGCCGCGUGUACGAUGAAGGCCCUUGGGUCGUAAAGUACUGUCAACGGGGACGAAGGUGGCUUGUUGAAUAGGCAGGUCGCGUGACGGUACCCGUGGAGGAAGCACCGGCUAACUCUGUGCCAGCAGCCGCGGUAAUACAGAGGGUGCAAACGUUGCUCGGAAUAACUGGGCGUAAAGCGCGCGCAGGUGGCCUGUUAAGUCGGCUGUGAAAUCCCCUGGCUCAACCAGGGACGUGCAGUCGAUACUGACCGGCUUGAGUCCUGGAGAGGGUGGUAGAAUUCCCAGUGUAGAGGUGAAAUUCGUAGAUAUUGGGAGGAAUACCGGUGGCGAAGGCGACCGCCUGGACGGGUACUGACACUGAGGCGCGAAAGCGUGGGGAGCAAACAGGAUUAGAUACCCCCGUAGUCC